rnacentral:rRNA from 1 species
UACGGAGGGUGCAAACGUUGCUCGGAAUCAUUGGGCGUAAAGCGCACGUAGGCGGACCGCUAAGUCGGAUGUGAAAGCCCUCGGCUUAACCGAGGAAGUGCAUUCGAAACUGACGGUCUUGAGUAUGGAAGAGGGUCGCGGAAUUCCCGGUGUAGAGGUGAAAUUCGUAGAUAUCGAGAGGAACACCUGCGGCGAAGGCGGGUUGCUGGGCUGAUACUGACGCUGAGGCGCGAAAGCCAGGGGAGCGAACGGG